rnacentral:rRNA from 1 species
GACGUAGGGCGCGAGCGUUAAUCGGAAUUACUGGGCGUAAAGCGUGCGCAGGCGGUUGGCAAAGUCAGCUGUGAAAGCCCCGGGCUCAACCUGGGAAUUGCGAUGGAGACUGCAAGGCUUGAAUCUGGCAGAGGGGGGUAGAAUUCCACGUGUAGCAGUGAAAUGCGUAGAGAUGUGGAGGAACACCGAUGGCGAAGGCAGCCCCCUGGGUCAAGAUUGACGCUCAUGCACGAAAGCGUGGGGAGCAAACAGG